rnacentral:rRNA from 1 species
GAUGAACGCUAGCGGCAGGCUUAAUACAUGCAAGUCGUGGGGCAGCAUGGUGUAGCAAUACACUGAUGGCGACCGGCAAACGGGUGCGGAACACGUACACAACCUUCCUUUAAGCGGGGAAUAGCCCAGAGAAAUUUGGAUUAAUACCCCAUAGUAUAUUGAUUAGGCAUCUUAUUAAUAUUAAAGAUUUAUCACUUAAAGAUGGGUGUGCGGCUGAUUAGAUAGUUGGCGAGGUAACGGCCCACCACGUCUACGAUCAGUAGCUGAUGUGAUAGCAGAAUCAGCCAAACCGGGAAUGAGACACGGGCCCGACACCUACGGGAGGCAGCAGUAAGGAAUAUUGGUCAAUGGGAGAAAGCUUGAACCAGCCAUGCCGCGUGAAGGAUUAAGGUCCUCUGGAUUGUAAACUUCUUUUAUCUGGGACGAAAAAAGGGAAUUCUUUCUCACUUGACGGUACCAGAUGAAUAAGCACCGGCUAACUCCGUGCCAGCCGCCGCAGUAAAAC